GACGAACGCUGGCGGCGCGCUUAACACAUGCAAGUCGAACGGAAAGGCCUGCUUUCCCUUGUGGAUUGCGGGUACUCGAGUGGCGAACGGGUGAGUAACACGUGAGUGAUCUGCACCCAACUUGGGUAUAAGCCUGGGAAACUGGGUCUAAUUCCCGAUAGGACUGCAGGGUGGUGCCUGUGGUGGAAAACGAUUUUCUAGUGGUUGGGGAUGAGCUCGCGGCCUAUCAGCUUGUUGGUGGGGUAAUGGCCUACCAAGGCGGCGACGGGUAGCCGGCCUGAGAGGGUGGACGGCCACAUUGGGACUGAGAUACGGCCCAGACUCCUACGGGAGGCAGCAGUGGGGAAUAUUGCACAAUGGGCGGAAGCCUGAUGCAGCGACGCCGCGUGGGGGAUGACGGCCUUCGGGUUGUAAACUCCUUUCGACCGCGAGGAAGCCACCUGGUUGGAAGGGUGGUGACGGUAGUGGUAGAGGAAGCACCGGCUAACUACGUG
rnacentral:rRNA from 1 species